ACCACAUCAUACCUGUCAUUAGAAAUUUCUAGUGACAGAGAUCCCAAAACUUUAGAAUGAAAAUAAUAUUAUUGCUUAAAGGACUUUCCUGUUUUUCUGUCGUGUACAUCCUGCAUCUUUCUCCCAGAAUUUUCUAUAACAGAAUGGGGAAUCAGUUGCCUUUGAAGUCUGCCAUUUCUGCAUUAACAAGCCUGUUCUUCCUUAUUUACAUUACAGUAAUCUCAGGUUUGUCAUUAGAAAUGUUGUUUAAGAUUGACAAAAUUGGUAUGAUUCUCCAGUAGGGUCUUGAUUUCUUUCCUGGUUAGCAUUUCAUGGAACUCCUGCAAGAGAGUUCUUCUGGUGUUGCAGAGUCAAAACAGAAUAGAUCUGGAAAAUGUCUGGGAAUGCAGCAGAGCAGGUUCUGAAGUAAAUUACUACAAAAGUGCAGGCAGAACCUGUAAUAUUUGCCUUAGCAUUAUUCAUCCAGCAAUUCAGGAGCUACAGAUCAGCAUGUGAAAGACAGCAGCUAAAAUACGGGGCUUCUCCAGCCUCUUUUGUGUUGGUGUAAAUCAAGAGUAACUUUCACUGAAACCAAUGGAGUGCAAAAUUGGUGUAAGUGAGAAUGAGUACUACCUCCUGUUCCUAUACAUCAGUGAAACUAUUUGUUUAAAGUGUUUAUGGACACUGUUAUCAUAAAUAGCUUAUUUUCUUACACAUUAAAAAGAUCAAAGGUAUCCAAAAUAAUUUUCUAACAUGACUAAAAUAAAUGUGUAUAUUUAUUGCCACAUAACUUGCAGGAGUCAUACUCCUGUUGAAGCUGAAUCCAAAAAUAGUGACUGAUUUUUUUUUUUUCUUGGUUUAAUAAAAGGAAUCACAGUGCUCUAUGAAAA